GGGCGAUUAACUCAGCGGUAGAGUAUCACCUUCACACGGUGGAAGUCGAUGGUUCGAACCCAUUAUCGCCCACCA
rnacentral:tRNA from 1 species